CCCCCGUGACAUCUCCAAGCCCGGCCGCCUGUGCCCCCGUGGGUAUGGCAACCGGGCCGUGGUUUCCGCGCUUGCGCGGGGGUCACCGGGUCGGACGGGAAACGGUCCGACCUCCCUGUAUCGGACUGGAGUGACAACAUGCAGACC
rnacentral:ncRNA from 2 species